rnacentral:lncRNA from 1 species
UUUUUCCUAUUAUCUUCUUCUCUUCUUCUUCUCCUUCUUACUUUUUUCUUCUCUUCUUCUUCUUCUUCUCCUUCUUAUUUUUUUCUUCUCUUCUUCUUCUUCUUCUUCUUCUUUUUCUUCUCCUCCUCCUCCUCCUCCUACUCCUCUUCUUCUUCUCCUCUUCUCGUCCUCCUCCUCCUCCUCCUCUCCUCCUCCACCUAACUAAC